GUUGUCCCGGUUUAAGCGUGUAGGUGUGUGUUCCAGGUAAAUCCGGUUCACUUUAACACUGAGGCGUGACGACGAGGCACUACGGUGCUGAAGCAACAAAUGCCCUGCUUCCAGGAAAAGCCUCUAAGCAUCAGGUAACAUCAAAUCGUACCCCAAACCGACACAGGUGGUCAGGUAGAGAAUACCAAGGCGCUUGAGAGAACUCGGGUGAAGGAACUAGGCAAAAUGGUGCCGUAACUUCGGGAGAAGGCACGCUGACACGUAGGUGAAGUGAUUUACUCAUGGAGCUGAAGUCAGUCGAAGAUACCAGCUGGCUGCAACUGUUUAUUAAAAACACAGCACUGUGCAAACACGAAAGUGGACGUAUACGGUGUGACGCCUGCCCGGUGCCGGAAGGUUAAUUGAUGGGGUCAGCGCAAGCGAAGCUCCUGAUCGAAGCCCCGGUAAACGGCGGCCGUAACUAUAACGGUCCUAAGGUAGCGAAAUUCCUUGUCGGGUAAGUUCCGACCUGCACGAAUGGCGUAAUGAUGGCCAGGCUGUCUCCACCCGAGACUCAGUGAAAUUGAACUCGCUGUGAAGAUGCAGUGUACCCGCGGCAAGACGGAAAGACCCCGUGAACCUUUACUAUAGCUUGACACUGAACAUUGAGCCUUGAUGUGUAGGAUAGGUGGGAGGCUUUGAAGUGUGGACGCCAGUCUGCAUGGAGCCGACCUUGAAAUACCACCCUUUAAUGUUUGAUGUUCUAACGUGGACCCGUGAUCCGGGUUGCGGACAGUGUCUGGUGGGUAGUUUGACUGGGGCGGUCUCCUCCUAAAGAGUAACGGAGGAGCACGAAGGUUGGCUAAUCCUGGUCGGACAUCAGGAGGUUAGUGCAAUGGCAUAAGCCAGCUUGACUGCGAGCGUGACGGCGCGAGCAGGUGCGAAAGCAGGUCAUAGUGAUCCGGUGGUUCUGAAUGGAAGGGCCAUCGCUCAACGGAUAAAAGGUACUCCGGGGAUAACAGGCUGAUACCGCCCAAGAGUUCAUAUCGACGGCGGUGUUUGGCACCUCGAUGUCGGCUCAUCACAUCCUGGGGCUGAAGUAGGUCCCAAGGGUAUGGCUGUUCGCCAUUUAAAGUGGUACGCGAGCUGGGUUUAGAACGUCGUGAGACAGUUCGGUCCCUAUCUGCCGUGGGCGCUGGAGAACUGAGGGGGGCUGCUCCUAGUACGAGAGGACCGGAGUGGACGCAUCACUGGUGUUCGGGUUGUCAUGCCAAUGGCACUGCCCGGUAGCUAAAUGCGGAAGAGAUAAGUGCUGAAAGCAUCUAAGCACGAAACUUGCCCCGA
rnacentral:rRNA from 1 species